UACGGGGGGGGCUAGCGUUGCUCGGAAUCACUGGGCGUAAAGCGCACGUAGGCGGAUUGUUAAGUCAGGGGUGAAAUCCUGGAGCUCAACUCCAGAACUGCCUUUGAUACUGGCGAUCUCGAGUCCGGGAGAGGUGAGUGGAACUGCGAGUGUAGAGGUGAAAUUCGUAGAUAUUCGCAAGAACACCAGUGGCGAAGGCGGCUCACUGGCCCGGUACUGACGCUGAGGUGCGAAAGCGUGGGGAGCAAACAGG
rnacentral:rRNA from 1 species